rnacentral:rRNA from 1 species
UACAGAGGUCUCAAGCGUUGUUCGGAUUCAUUGGGCGUAAAGGGUGCGUAGGUGGCGCCGUAAGUCGGGUGUGAAAUUUCGGAGCUUAACUCCGAAACUGCAUUGGAUACUGCGGUGCUUGAGGACUGGAGAGGAGACUGGAAUUCAUGGUGUAGCAGUGAAAUGCGUAGAGAUCGGGAGGAACACCAGUGGCGAAGGCGGCUUGCUGGGCCGGACCUGACGCUGAGGCGCGAAGGCGUGGGGAGCGAACGGG